rnacentral:lncRNA from 1 species
CUCUCGCUAUUCGCCUUUUGCAUAAAGGUUCAGUUUGGUUAUUUUUAACACUUCAUGGUGCCUUUCCUCUGGGCUUUCUCAUGCAAAGUGCAAAGCGAGGAGAGAGGUUCAUCGGGGAAAGGAGGAGGGAGAAGAGACCGAAGACAAAAAAAAAAAAUCAAAGUCGAUAUCGCAACCAAAAUAAUAACAAUCAUAAAAAAAAAAAAGGAGAGAGAGAGAAAAAAAAAAAAAAAACACAACUCAACCCCAAAGCUACGGCAAGAAGAUGAAAAAUAUUUUAAAGGUUUCAUCCAGCAGGAGAGUUUAAAAGCAUUGCAGAGUUUUAUAGCGCUCCUGACGUCAGCCUCCGAAUGGCAAAUUGGCUGGGCGGGCGGCCCAAUGGGCUGCCUGCAGCCGCCGGCAUUAGCAUAAUAGUAUAGAAACAAGGAAACUUUUCGGGGCUGUCAAUCAGGGCGCAAUCAGCUGACUGUCAGCUGGGAGCGCCGUAACCCCUUCCUGCCCGCCCCGUUCACCGGGGACCGGGCACCGGGCUGGGGCCGCUCCUCCCGCCGGGACGCGCCGUCGGGUGUCCGCCCGGCUCCGCUCCGCUCCGCUCCGCGCUGCCUUGCUUUGUCCUGCUUUGUCCUGCUCUGUCCUGCUUUGUCCUGCUCUGCCCCGGGGUGCGGAGCCCCCGGGUGCUCCUGGCCGGCCGGGCACCCGAGGGCACCGGGGGACUUGGCCCGGGGGCGUGCGGGGACGGCCCGAGGGAGGGGGCUGCUCCUGGGGGCUCCGCGGGGCUCGGCGGUGCUGCCGGGCUCAGCCGGGCUCCAUCCACUACCUGGUGCCGCUACCGAGACCCCCGGGCCGCCCCCCGGCGGCGGCGGCUCCCCCCUGGGUCUGCCGCUUGCUGCCGGCAGCGAUCGUUCCCCGGCCGUCCCCAGCAGAGAGCCUCCCCUCCCGGUGCCCCCCGGCCGGGGCUGGAGGGGGGGGAGCCGUGCGAGCGCGGAGCGGGCUGCACCCGGCGGUGCCGAGCGGCGGCGGAGCGGCUCCGUUCAAACCUCGACAGCGCCAUCUCUCGUCGAAAGGUCAGUGCCGAGGCCGUCCCCGGCCGGCGCCGAGCCGCGGGAGCAGAGCCGAGCCGUGCCGGGCCGUGCCGAGCCGUGCCGUGCCGUCGGGGCCCCGCCGUCGGGGCUGGCCCGGCCCGGCCCGGCCCGGCUCAGGUCGGCUCGGUUGGGGUCCCUUCUUGGCCCCCCUUGGGCCGGGGAAGCCCGCAGCCUGCCGAGCUGCCAGGCUCGCUUUGUCGAGCGGGCUUUAUGGGAAUAUCGAUAGAAUUAAAGUUACUUGUAAUUCCGUGAUAAAUGAGAUGUCUCUAGUAAGUAAGAUUAAGUGCGGUGCUAUAAAGUUGUUUAUCUGA